rnacentral:rRNA from 1 species
UAACGAAUGACAAGUCGGUCCUCUGUGCUGGUGGCAACACAUGUGCACGUUGACUGCAAAUCCACACACCUGUGCACCUUUGACUUUGGGAUCCGCCAGUUGGCUUGUCCAGCUAUGCAGUCGGCCGGCUCUGGGGUUGGCCUGGGUCUUGAGGUAAUUUUUACAUACGCUUGCAUGUAUUGGAAUGUUUCUGUGCAUAAUGCGCAAAUAAACAACUUUCAACAACGGAUCUCUUGGCUCUCGCAUCGAUGAAGAACGCAGCGAAAUGCGAUAAGUAAUGUGAAUUGCAGAAUUCAGUGAAUCAUCGAAUCUUUGAACGCACCUUGCACCCUUUGGUAUUCCGAGGGGUACGCCCGUCUGAGUGUCAUUGUAAUCUCACUCCCCUAGCCUUUGCUGGCCUGGGAGGUGGACUUGGACUCUGCUGUGUCAUCCAUGGCUGGUCUAAAAUGCAUGAGUGUACCCUGCUGUUGCAGCGUCUUCAGUGUGAUAAGCAUCCUCACUGGACAAAGUUCCCUGUAGGACACGCACGCAAGUGGGCUCUGCGCUUCUAACAGUCCCGCUUUUGGGACAGCUUUGACAACUUGACCUCAGAUCGGGUGGGACUACCCGCUGAACUUAA